UAUUAACGUCCUUUCUUUGACCUCAGCAGU
rnacentral:piRNA from 1 species